rnacentral:snRNA from 1 species
AGCUUUGCGCGGUGGCAGUACCACAGCCAAUGAGGUUUAUCCGAGGUGUGCUUAUUGCUAAUUGAAAAACAAUAGUACACCAAACAUCCUAUCCUAUUUCUAAAUAAGUGAAGAAAAAUAUCAGAUACUGUGGUAAGAUA